GUUUUCGUAGUGUAGUGGUUAUCACGUUUGCCUCACACGCGAAAGGCCCCUGGUUCGAACCCGGGCGAAAACA
rnacentral:tRNA from 1 species